UCUCUAAGCAGCAGGUCCCUUGUCUUGAUGAAGGGCUGCCACUGGGGCUAUAUCUUUUUGUUCUCCUCUAAGCUCUACUGUAGCCAAUGUCUUCUGGUAGCCUGGGAACUCAUCUCCUGGUCCCUGGUGAAUGGCUAUUAUCUCCAAUGUCACCAAGAAAGAACCUGUUUGUUUCAAGUUGGGUCAAGUUACCCUAAGUUGUUUGGAUCAUGUUAGAAGAAAGCACAAAUCAUACCCAAGACUCAAAGGGAGGUGAACUCAUCCUGGAGGCCUCAUUCUCUGCUAUUUGCUUCUUCUCAGUUUAAACAGCUAGUUCAAGGAACUCAUCUUCCCAGCUCUGCCAUCUUGUGAUCCUGUAACUGGCAUACUUGGAACCAGGAAUCUUCACACCUGUGUAGAAGCUCAUGUUCUCCCACGUUGGACAAGUACACUGAUACAAGGAGUGGAUAACAGUUAGACUCGAACAUUUCUUUGUAAAAAGGAACCAUUUAAAUAUUUGGAACUCAGAAACCCAGAACCCGACAAAGGCUAUGGAAAGAUUCCAUGUGUAGGGUGAUGGUAGGGUGGACAGUGAGCCUUGGGGGUUCAGGGGGAGUCAUCAACACUGCCUGAAAUACUCCCCACUCCAGCCACUCUUAGAAGAGAUAGUGACUUAGAUGUAGUGUGGGAUGAAGGAGACAUAUUUAUUUUUUUCUUUCUCUUCCUUCAAGAAGGUUGGGUGAUUCAGAGGAGAAUGGAAGUAUUUCCAGGUACCUCAAUGGAAAUCUGAUAAAAAACAAUAUUUUUGCCAUUUAAAUAAUAAUAAUUGCUCUUCUGCAAAUAGAAUAAUAAUAAUAAUAAUAAUAAUAAUAAUAAUAAUAACUCCCUUUCUGGGCAUUACUAUAGGUAAAUAAUCUGAGAUGUGGACAAAUCUAUGUGAAACGAUUUUUAUGGUAACAUUAAUUAGAUGAAAAUGAACAUGUGGAAUUUUCUUUUCCAUGUUCCUCCUUAUCCUCACUCUUUUCUUCUUUUUCCUCGCUUAUCAAUAAUUAUUGAUAAAU